rnacentral:rRNA from 1 species
UACGGGGGGGGCAAGCGUUGUUCGGAAUUACUGGGCGUAAAGGGCUCGUAGGUGGCCAACUAAGUCAGACGUGAAAUCCCUCGGCUUAACCGGGGAACUGCGUCUGAUACUGGAUGGCUUGAGUUCGGGAGAGGGAUGCGGAAUUCCAGGUGUAGCGGUGAAAUGCGUAGAUAUCUGGAGGAGCACCGGUGGCGAAGGCGGCAUCCUGGACCGACACUGACACUGAGGAGCGAAAGCCAGGGGAGCAAACGGG